GACGAACGCUGGCGGCGUGCUUAACACAUGCAAGUCGAACGGAAAGGCCCUGCUUUUGUGGGGUGCUCGAGUGGCGAACGGGUGAGUAACACGUGAGUAACCUGCCCUUGACUUUGGGAUAACUUCAGGAAACUGGGUCUAAUACCGGAUAGGAGCUCCUGCUGCAUGGUGGGGGUUGGAAAGUGUCGGCGGUUGGGGAUGGACUCGCGGCUUAUCAGCUUGUGGUUGGGGUAGAGGCUUACCAAGGCUUUGACGGGUAGCCGGCCUGUGGGUGACCGGCCACAUUGGGACUGAGAUAGGGCGCAGACGCCUACGGUAGGCAGCAGUGGGAAAUAUUGCACAACGGGCGGAAGCCUGAUGCAGAAACGCCGCGUGUGGGAUGACGGCCUUCGGGUUGUAAACCGCUUUCGCCUGUGACGAAGCGUGAGUGACGGUAAUGGAUAAAGAAGCACCGGCUAACUACGUG
rnacentral:rRNA from 1 species